UACAGAGGUCUCAAGCGUUGUUCGGAUUCAUUGGGCGUAAAGGGUGCGUAGGCGGCGCGGUAAGUCGGGUGUGAAAUCUCGGGGCUUAACUCCGAAACUGCAUGCGAUACUGCCGUGCUUGAGGACUGGAGAGGAGAGUGGAAUUCCCAGUGUAGAGGUGAAAUUCGUAGAUAUUCGCAAGAACACCAGUGGCGAAGGCGGCUCACUGGCCCGGUACUGACGCUGAGGUGCGAAAGCGUGGGGAGCAAACAGG
rnacentral:rRNA from 1 species